rnacentral:snRNA from 1 species
GACUGCGGAGUUGGCUUAAUCGAAAUUCACCUUGCCUUUUACCAGAUGAAUCCUUGGGUCACUCCACUACGCAGCUUUAUCAAUCUUUGGAAAUCACAAGUUCGAUUCUCGAACUU